CAGUAGCCGCGGGAAUACGUAGGGUGCAAGCGUUAAUCGGAAUUACUGGGCGUAAAGCGUGCGCAGGCGGUUAUAUAAGUCAGAUGUGAAAUCCCCGGGCUCAACCUGGGAACUGCAUUUGAGACUGUAUGGCUAGAGUGUGUCAGAGGGGGGUAGAAUUCCACGUGUAGCAGUGAAAUGCGUAGAGAUGUGGAGGAACACCGAUGGCGAAGGCAGCCUCCUGGGAUAACACUGACGCUCAGGCACGAAAGCGUGGGGAGCAAACAGGAUUAGAUACCCCAGUAGUCCCUGUCUCUUAUAC
rnacentral:rRNA from 1 species